rnacentral:rRNA from 1 species
UGCUGGAGGUAUCAGAAGUGCGAAUGCUGACAUGAGUAACGUUAAAGCGGGUGAAAAGCCCGCUCGCCGUAAGCCCAAGGUUUCCUGCUCUACGUUCAUCGGAGCAGGGUGAGUCGGCCCCUAAGGCCAGGCUGAGAAGCGUAGUCGAUGGGAAGCAGAUUAAUAUUUCUGCACCAUGUGCAAGUGCGAUGGGGGGACGGAGUGCGAAAGAUCAUCCGGGUGUUGGAUGUCCCGGUUUGUGAGUGUAGAAGGCCGACAGGCAAAUCCGUCGGCGGAUCUUCGAGACAAAGCAUCGAGGUUCUACGGAACCGAAGUGAUCGGAAGUGCUUCCAGGAAAAGCCUCUAAGCUUCAGCUUGCAUAUGACCGUACCGUAAACCGACACUGGUGGGCGAGUUGAAUAUACUCAGGCGCUUGAGAGAACUCGGGAGAAGGAACUCGGCAAAUUGACACCGUAACUUCGGGAUAAGGUGUGCCUUUGUAGCGUGAAGAGAGAAACACUCGGAGCGUGAAGAGGCCUCAGAGAAUCGGUGGCUGCAACUGUUUAUUAAAAACACAGCACUCUGCAAAGACGAAAGUCGACGUAUAGGGUGUGAUGCCUGCCCGGUGCUGGAAGAUUAAGUGAUGGGGUGAGAGCUCCUGAUCGAAGUCCCAGUAAACGGCGGCCGUAACUAUAACGGUCCUAAGGUAGCGAAAUUCCUUGUCGGGUAAGUUCCGACCUGCACGAAUGGCAUAAUGAUGGCCACACUGUCUCCUCCCGAGACUCAGUGAAGUUGAAAUGUUUGUGAUGAUGCAAUCUCCCCGCGGCUAGACGGAAAGACCCCAUGAACCUUUACUGUAGCUUUGCAUUGGACUUUGAACCGAUUUGUGUAGGAUAGGCGGGAGGCAGAGAAAGCGCAACGCCAGUUGUGCCGGAGCCGACGUUGAAAUACCGCCCUGAUUUGUUUGAGGUUCUAACCGCGACCCGUGAGCCGGGUCCGGGACCGUGCAUGGCAGGCAGUUUGACUGGGGCGGUCUCCUCCUAAAGGGUAACGGAGGAGUACAAAGGUACGCUAGGUACGGUCGGAAAUCGUGCUGAUAGUGCAAAGGCAAAAGCGUGCUUGACUGCGAGACCGACAAGUCGAGCAGAUGCGAAAGCAGGUCUUAGUGAUCCGGUGGCUCUGUAUGGAAGGGCCAUCGCUCAACGGAUAAAAGGUACUCUGGGGAUAACAGGCUGAUACCGCCCAAGAGUUCAUAUCGACGGCGGUGUUUGGCACCUCGAUGUCGGCUCAUCUCAUCCUGGGGCUGUAGCCGGUCCCAAGGGUAUGGCUGUUCGCCAUUUAAAGAGGUACGUGAGCUGGGUUUAAAACGUCGUGAGACAGUUUGGUCCCUAUCUGCCGUGGGCG